rnacentral:tRNA from 1 species
AGUAAUAUGUCUGAAAAAGAUAUAUUUUGAUAAAAUAUUUAUGUAUAAUCACUUGUAUACUAUUACUA